UCUUGGAUAGCUCAGUUGGUUAGAGCAUGGUGCUGAUAACACCAAGGCUGCAGGCUCAAUCCUCAUAAU
rnacentral:tRNA from 1 species